GUGGGGAAUAUUGGACAAUGGGCGAAAGCCUGAUCCAGCCAUGCCGCGUGUGUGAAGAAGGUCUUCGGAUUGUAAAGCACUUUAAGUUGCGAGGAAGGGCAGUAAGUUAAUACCUUGCUGUUUUGACGUUACCAACAGAAUAAGCACCGGCUAACUUCGUGCCAGCAGCCGCGGUAAUACGAAGGGUGCAAGCGUUAAUCGGAAUUACUGGGCGUAAAGCGCGCGUAGGUGGUUCAGCAAGUUGAAGGUGAAAUCCCCGGGCUCAACCUGGGAACUGCCUCCAAAACUGCAUGACUAGAGUACGGUAGAGGGUAGUGGAAUUUCCUGUGUAGCGGUGAAAUGCGUAGAUAUAGGAAGGAACACCAGUGGCGAAGGCGACUACCUGGACUGAUACUGACACUGAGGUGCGAAAGCGUGGGGAGCAAACAGGAUUAGAUACCCCGGUAGUCC
rnacentral:rRNA from 1 species